rnacentral:rRNA from 3 species
UAAACGACUCUCGGCAACGGAUAUCUCGGCUCUCGCAUCGAUGAAGAACGUAGCGAAAUGCGAUACUUGGUGUGAAUUGCAGAAUCCCGCGAACCAUCGAGUCUUUGAACGCAAGUUGCGCCCGAAGCCAUUAGGUCGAGGGCACGUCUGCCUGGGCGUCUCGC